rnacentral:rRNA from 1 species
GUCUUUUUGUAAAUAAAUAUAAAGUCUAACCUGCCCCUUGAAUUAAUUUAAAAGGCUGCGGUAUAUUGACCGUACAAAGGUAGCAUAAUAAUUAGUUUUUUAAUUGAAAACUUGUAUGAAUGGUUGAAUGAGAAAUUAACUUUUUUUAAUAAAAAAAAUUGAAUUUUACUUUUUAGUUAAAAGGCUAAAAUAAAUUUAAAAGACGAGAAGACCCUAUAGAGUUUUAUAAUUAUUUUUUCUAUUAUUUUAUAGGUUAGUUUUAUAUAAAUAAUAUUUUAAAAAUUAUUUUGUUGGGGUGAUAAUAAAAUUUAAUUAACUUUUAUAAUUUUUUUAACAUUAAUAUAUGAAUAAUUGAUCCAAUAAUAUUGAUUAAAAAAUUAAAUUACCUUAGGGAUAACAGCGUAAUUUUUUUUUAAGUUCUUAUUAAUAAAAAAUUUUGCGACCUCGAUGUUGGAUUAAGAUUAAAACUUAGGUGCAGUAGCUUAAAUGUUAAGUCUGUUCGACUUUUAAAUUCUU